rnacentral:rRNA from 1 species
CGCUGGCGGCGUGCUUUAUGCAUGCAAGUCGAACGGUCCCGAUUUAUCGGGAUAGUGGCGAACGGGUGAGUAACGCGUAAGUAACUUGCCCCCAAGUAGAGGAUAACUUCGAGAAAUUGGAGCUAAUACUGUAUGUGGUGGUAGGGGUAAAGCCUUAUCACUAAAGCCUUCGGGUGCUUGGGGAGAGGCUUGCGUCCGAUUAGCUAGUUGGUAGGGUAACGGCCUACCAAGGUGACGAUCGGUAGCUGGUUUGAGAGGACGGCCAGCCACACUGGGACUGAGACACGGCCCAGACUCCUACGGGAGGCAGCAGCAAGGAAUUUUGGGCAAUGGGCGAAAGCCUGACCCAGCGACGCCGCGUGGGGGAUGAAGGCCUUCGGGUUGUAAACCCCUUUUCUCAGGGAAGAAUAAUGACGGUACCUGAGGAAUAAGUCUCGGCUAACUACGUGCCAGCAGCCGCGGUAAUACGUAGGAGGCGAGCGUUAUCCGGAUUUACUGGGCGUAAAGAGGGCGUAGGCGGCUUUUCAAGUCGGGUGUGAAAUCUCCCUGCUUAAUGGGGAGGGGUCAUUCGAUACUGUUAAGCUAGAGGGCAGCAGAGGGAGGUGGAAUUCCCGGUGGAGUGGUGAAAUGCGUAGAUAUCGGGAGGAACACCAGUGGCGAAGGCGGCCUCCUGNGCUGUUUCUGACGUUGAGGCCCGAAAGCGUGGGGAGCGAACAGGAUUAGAUACCCUGGUAGUCCACGCUGUUAACGAUGGAUACU